rnacentral:tRNA from 1 species
CGGGAUAGCUCAGUUGGUAGAGCAGAGGACUGAAAAUCUCGUGCCCCUUUUC